CACGAUUCGAUCCACCGCGUUUCGCAACUUGGACGAUUGCGUGAUCUCCGGGAACCCGGUGCAACUCCGGGACGGCCCCGCCGCCGUGACCAGGACCAAUCCCCGCGUGUCUUUGUUAGGAAGGAUUCAUUCGCAUCCCUCCAACUAAGCGCGGCGCGAACUUGACCGCUCGCCGUGGUCGUUCGCUCCGCCACGCCAUUGCCGAUCGGACCCGGCGAGAAGGCGCGACCCGCGGCCCUGGGAGUCGGAAGACCGACCUUGCUUCCUGUCCUGACG
rnacentral:ncRNA from 18 species